UGGGGAAUCUUGGACAAUGGGGGCAACCCUGAUCCAGCCAUGCCGCGUGAGUGAUGAAGGCCUUAGGGUCGUAAAGCUCUUUCGCCAGGGAUGAUAAUGACAGUACCUGGUAAAGAAACCCCGGCUAACUCCGUGCCAGCAGCCGCGGUAAUACGGAGGGGGUUAGCGUUGUUCGGAAUUACUGGGCGUAAAGCGCGCGUAGGCGGAUUGGAAAGUUGGGGGUGAAAUCCCGGGGCUCAACCCCGGAACUGCCUCCAAAACUAUCAGUCUAGAGUUCGAGAGAGGUGAGUGGAAUUCCGAGUGUAGAGGUGAAAUUCGUAGAUAUUCGGAGGAACACCAGUGGCGAAGGCGGCUCACUGGCUCGAUACUGACGCUGAGGUGCGAAAGUGUGGGGAGCAAACAGGAUUAGAUACCCCCGUAGUCC
rnacentral:rRNA from 1 species